CUACGGGCUGCAGCAGUGGGGAAUAUUGGACAAUGGGGGAAACCCUGAUCCAGCAAUGCCGCGUGUGUGAAGAAGGCCUGCGGGUUGUAAAGCACUUUCGGUUGGGAGGACUGCUUCUAGCACUAAUAUUGUUGGAAGUUGACGUUACCUUCAGAAGAAGCACCGGCUAACUCCGUGCCAGCAGCCGCGGUAAUACGGAGGGUGCAAGCGUAAUCGGAAUUACUGGGCGUAAAGCGCGCGUAGGCGGCUAAAUCAGUCGGGUGUGAAAGCCCCGGGCUUAACCUGGGAACUGCAUCCGAUACUGUCUAGCUUGAGUACAGGAGAGGAGAGUGGAAUUCCACAUGUAGCGGUGAAAUGCGUAGAUAUGUGGAGGAACACCAAUGGCGAAGGCAGCUCUCUGGCCUGAUACUGACGCUGAGGUGCGAAAGCGUGGGGAGCAAACAGGAUUAGAUACCCCUGUAGUC
rnacentral:rRNA from 1 species